UCUUCCCCCACCCUACUGUAUAUAGGUCUAACAGCAGCGAUUCUGAUGAGCCUUUAAAACGAACAGAAGAAUCCAGCAACUUAGUGACAAAUUUUGGGAGCGCUUAUAUUCGUUGGAAGGAGACUGACCAACAAAACUCAACAGACGAAAUGGAAACAGGUGUGUCAUCGUUUCAGAGAAUUAAUUAUUCCGACCUAUACGAGGCAGAAACGGCUGUGAAUAUCCUGAAAGCGAGCUUGCUUAGUGAGAACAUACAAGCAGCGGUACAGAGCAUUCGCGAAGAAUAAUAACAUACGCUCUUAUAGGAGAAGUCGACAACAGCGGGUACUGAUGUGCGAAACAAAGAGCAUACAGCGCUUGAGUGGGGUUAGAAAUGCAAAAUGGUGGUUUCUGAUUUUCAAACUCUUUACUUGCAAAUGGACUUGCGAAACAAAUAAGCUUGCACAUGGUCCAGACAUUACAUUAUAAUUGCUCUAAGCGUAUACCACUGUCGUAUAGUUGGUUAUUAAUAAUAUACACGGAGUUUAUGAACACCAAGGUUAUAGUAGUGUGGGGGGAAAUGGGACACUUUUUCGUUCCAUUUUCUCUUCUUAUUUUAUAGUAAACAAAGAACAUUCGAAAGUUAUUAAACCAUAUCCCCGCGCCACGACUUUCAUAGACUUGUAAAUUGUUAAAAACACCAUCCGGAUAUUUGGGUAUUGGUGCUAAAGAUGUGUCGUCUUCCCGACAGUAUAUUUAUUUAUUUUUAAAUAUAGUUUUAUAUAUAUUUUUUUUAAUUAUUACAUAUAGCGUUUAUCUCCUAGCUGAUUUUAAUUUUUUUUCUGAGAUUUGUUUUAAGGUUUUACUUGAAUGGUAAAUUCCCAGCCCCAGUUAUAUUGUAGUACUAAAAAUGUGUUUUAUAAGAAUUGAUUGCGACAGAAUGUGUGUCGUAUUCAAUUAAAUAAGGACAAUAUAGAUAAAGAUGCGACUUGUGGUAUUGUGGCAACACAACAAAACACAAGAGCAAAUUACACGUUUGUUGCUUCGUAACCAUCCUAUACACAAAACGCGUCGCCUAAAAUAAACGACUUUACCCGUUUACGUAAAACAUCACAGUAAGAACAUUAUUGGCGCAAUAGUUGCAUGUUUCCUUUUUUGAUACUAGAAUAAAACAGGCAGUGACGUG